rnacentral:rRNA from 1 species
UCCUGGCUCAGAUUGGACGCUGGCGGCAGGCCUAACACAUGCAAGUCGAACGGUAACAGGAAGAAGCUUGCUUCUUUGCUGACGAGUGGCGGACGGGUGAGUAAUGUCUGGGAAACUGCCUGAUGGAGGGGGAUAACUACUGGAAACGGUAGCUAAUACCGCAUAACGUCGCAAGACCAAAGAGGGGGACCUUCGGGCCUCUUGCCAUCGGAUGUGCCCAGAUGGGAUUAGCUUGUUGGUGGGGUAACGGCUCACCAAGGCGACGAUCCCUAGCUGGUCUGAGAGGAUGACCAGCCACACUGGAACCGAGACACGGUCCAGACUCCUACGGGAGGCAGCAGUGGGGAAUAUUGCACAAUGGGCGCAAGCCUGAUGCAGCCAUGCCGCGUGUAUGAAGAAGGCCUUCGGGUUGUAAAGUACUUUCAGCGGGGAGGAAGGGAGUAAAGUUAAUACCUUUGCUCAUUGACGUUACCCGCAGAAGAAGCACCGGCUAACUCCGUGCCAGCAGCCGCGGUAAUACGGAGGGUGCAAGCGUUAAUCGGAAUUACUGGGCGUAAAGCGCACGCAGGCGGUUUGUUAAGUCAGAUGUGAAAUCCCCGGGCUCAACCUGGGAACUGCAUCUGAUACUGGCAAGCUUGAGUCUCGUAGAGGGGGGUAGAAUUCCAGGUGUAGCGGUGAAAUGCGUAGAGAUCUGGAGGAAUACCGGUGGCGAAGGCGGCCCCCUGGACGAAGACUGACGCUCAGGUGCGAAAGCGUGGGGAGCAAACAGGAUUAGAUACCCUGGUAGUCCACGCCGUAAACGAUGUCGACUUGGAGGUUGUGCCCUUGAGGCGUGGCUUCCGGAGCUAACGCGUUAAGUCGACCGCCUGGGGAGUACGGCCGCAAGGUUAAAACUCAAAUGAAUUGACGGGGGCCCGCACAAGCGGUGGAGCAUGUGGUUUAAUUCGAUGCAACGCGAAGAACCUUACCUGGUCUUGACAUCCACGGAAGUUUUCAGAGAUGAGAAUGUGCCUUCGGGAACCGUGAGACAGGUGCUGCAUGGCUGUCGUCAGCUCGUGUUGUGAAAUGUUGGGUUAAGUCCCGCAACGAGCGCAACCCUUAUCCUUUGUUGCCAGCGGUCCGGCCGGGAACUCAAAGGAGACUGCCAGUGAUAAACUGGAGGAAGGUGGGGAUGACGUCAAGUCAUCAUGGCCCUUACGACCAGGGCUACACACGUGCUACAAUGGCGCAUACAAAGAGAAGCGACCUCGCGAGAGCAAGCGGACCUCAUAAAGUGCGUCGUAGUCCGGAUUGGAGUCUGCAACUCGACUCCAUGAAGUCGGAAUCGCUAGUAAUCGUGGAUCAGAAUGCCACGGUGAAUACGUUCCCGGGCCUUGCACUCACCGCCCGUCA